GUGCCAGCCGCCGCGGUAAAACGUAGGACGCGAGCGUCAUCCGGAUUUACUGGGCGUAAAGCGCAUGCAGGCGGCCUUGUAAGUCGGAUGUGAAAUCUCCCGGCUCAACUGGGAGGCGUCAUUCGAUACUGCAAGGCUUGAGGGCAGGAGAGGGGAGUGGAAUUCCCGGUGUAGUGGUGAAAUGCGUAGAUAUCGGGAGGAACACCAGUGGCGAAGGCGGCUCCCUGGCCUGUACCUGACGCUAAGAUGCGAAAGCGUGGGGAGCGAACGGGAUUAGAAACCCCGGUAGUCCACGCCGUAAACGAUGCGGACUAGGUGUGGGAGGUAUUGACCCCUUCCGUGCCGUAGCUAACGCGUUAAGUCCGCCGCCUGGGGACUACGGCCGCAAGGCUAAAACUUAAAGGAAUUGACGGGG
rnacentral:rRNA from 1 species